rnacentral:rRNA from 1 species
AACGAACGCUGGCGGCAGGCUUAACACAUGCAAGUCGAACGGGCGUAGCAAUACGUCAGUGGCAGACGGGUGAGUAACACGUGGGAACGUCCCCCUCGGUUCGGAAUAACUCAGGGAAACUUGAGCUAAUACCGGAUACGUCCGAGAGGAGAAAGAUUUAUCGCCGGGGGAUCGGCCCGCGUCUGAUUCGCUAGUUGGUGUGGUAAUGGCUCACCAAGGCGACGAUCAGUAGCUGGUCUGACAGGAUUGUCAGCCACACGUGGGACUGAGACACGGCCCAGACUCCUACGGGAGGCAGAAGUGGGGAAUAUUGGACAAUGGGCGCAAGCCUGAUCCAGCCAUGCCGCGUGAGUGAUGAAGGCCUUAGGGUUGUAAAGCUCUUUUGCCAGGGAAGAUAAUGACUGUACCUGGAGAAUAAGCCCCGGCUAACUUCGUGCCAGCCGCCGCCGUAACAC